UACACUCCUACGGGAGGCAGCAGUGGGGAAUUUUGGACAAUGGGCGAAAGCCUGAUCCAGCAAUGCCGCGUGAGUGAAGAAGGCCUUCGGGUUGUAAAGCUCUUUUGUCAGGGAAGAAACGGUGAAAGCUAAUAUCUUUUGCUAAUGACGGUACCUGAAGAAUAAGCACCGGCUAACUACGUGCCAGCAGCCGCGGUAAUACGUAGGGUGCAAGCGUUAAUCGGAAUUACUGGGCGUAAAGCGUGCGCAGGCGGUUUUGUAAGUCUGAUGUGAAAUCCCCGGGCUCAACCUGGGAAUUGCAUUGGAGACUGCAAGGCUAGAAUCUGGCAGAGGGGGGUAGAAUUCCACGUGUAGCAGUGAAAUGCGUAGAUAUGUGGAGGAACACCGAUGGCGAAGGCAGCCCCCUGGGUCAAGAUUGACGCUCAUGCACGAAAGCGUGGGGAGCAAACAGGAUUAGAAACCCGAGUAGUCCCAUGAU
rnacentral:rRNA from 1 species